rnacentral:rRNA from 1 species
AUUGAACGCUGGCGGCAGGCCUAACACAUGCAAGUCGAGCGAGCGGCGGACGGGUGAGUAAUGUAUGGGGAUCUGCCUGAUGGAGGGGGAUAACUACUGGAAACGGUGGCUAAUACCGCAUACUAUCGGAAGAACCCAGAUGGGCGUAGCUAGUAGGUGGGGUAAAGGCUCACCUAGGCGACGAUCGCUAGCUGGUCUGAGAGGAUGAUCAGACACACGGGUACUGAGACACGGUCCAUACGCCUACGGGAGGCAUCAGUGGGGAAUAUUGCACAAUGGGCGCAAGCCUGAUGCAGCCAUGCCGCGUGUAUGAAGAAGGCCUUAGGGUUGUAAAGUACUUUCAGCGGGGAGGCGUUACCCGCAGAAGAAGCACCGGCUAACUCCGUGCCAGCAGCCGCGGUAAUAC